UUUUGCUACCAUCGCCCAUAUACUAGAAUUGCUCUACUCUCUAUUCCCAUAUUAUCACUCACUGUUAUCUUACCUUUAAUAUUGUUCUUAUUCAAUUCUACCAUCUUUCCUAUUUACACUUAUCUAUCUUUCUUGGUUAAGUUAGAGCGUAGAUCAGUUCUCCCGUUUCCCUGUGGAUACGAUAAAACCUUUAACCGGGUAAAAAGCUUCAACGGUAUCCGUGCGCUUGCGGAUUAUCUGUGUGCGUAUAAAUACCAUAGUACACUCUAGUGCCAUGCUGGG
rnacentral:lncRNA from 1 species